rnacentral:rRNA from 1 species
UGGUGGAAUGAUUCGUCUGUUUAAUUACGAUAACGAACGAGACCUUAACCUUUAAAUAGAGACUCAAAUUUCGAUUUGUGAAUCUUCUUAGAGGGACUGACUGCGAAAAGUAGUUGGAAGUUUGAGGCAAUAACA